AUUGAACGCUGGCGGCAGGCCUAACACAUGCAAGUCGAGCGGAUGACGGGAGCUUGCUCCUUGAUUCAGCGGCGGACGGGUGAGUAAUGCCUAGGAAUCUGCCUGGUAGUGGGGGACAACGUUUCGAAAGGAACGCUAAUACCGCAUACGCCCUACGGGAGAAAGCAGGGGACCUUCGGGCCUUGCGCUAUCAGAUGAGCCUAGGUCGGAUUAGCUAGUUGGUGGGGUAAUGGCUCACCAAGGCGAAGAUCCGUAACUGGUCUGAGAGGAUGAGCAGUCACACUGGAACUGAGACACGGUCCAGACUCCUACGGGAGGCAGCAGUGGGGAAUAUUGGACAAUGGGCGAAAGCCUGAUCCAGCCAUGCCGCGUGGGUGAAGAAGGUCUUCGGAUUGUAAAGCACUUUAAGUUGGGAGGAAGGGCAGUAAGCUAAUAUCUUGCUGUUUUGACGUUACCGACAGAAUAAGCACCGGCUAACUCUGUGCCAGCCGCCGCGGUAA
rnacentral:rRNA from 1 species